rnacentral:rRNA from 1 species
UACAGAGGUCCCAAGCGUUGUUCGGAUUCAUUGGGCGUAAAGGGUGCGUAGGCGGCGAAGUAAGUUGGAUGUGAAAUCCCGGGGCUCAACCCCGGAACUGCAUUCAAUACUGCUUUGCUAGAGUAUUGGAGAGGAGAUUGGAAUUCGACGGUGUAGCAGUGAAAUGCGUAGAUAUCGUGAGGAAGACCAGUGGCGAAGGCGAAUCUCUGGA